rnacentral:hammerhead_ribozyme from 1 species
AUCCAGCUGACGAGUCUCAAAUAGGACGAAUCGAGCGUCCUGAAU